GGAUAAACAAACUGCAGCCAGCAAAGUGCUCUGACUGGCUUUAUGCUUCUAGCUAUGUGUGCACGAAACGAGAGCUGAUGCUUAAUAUGAAUUUUAUGAGGGGUUGCAGCUGAAGAGCUGACAGUCUAACUGGUCUCUGGAGAGCAACAAAGAGCUGAAAAAAGAGAUUUUGAUGUUUUACAGCAAGUUCAAGGACAACUGACGUUGUACUUAUGGAUCUCCGGGCAGUGGCGAUGAAGAUCUUAAACCACUUCAAAGUUCAGCAUUUCUGAACAUUCACGUUACUGCAACUGUAUAAGAGAAGAGGUGGUAGUACUGGGUCUGGCAUUCAGCACUAAUCCCUUUUUGAUAUCAACAACAGGGUGGAUUUUUAUUUUUGUUUUUCUUCAUUUGAGAGAUCAGC